rnacentral:lncRNA from 1 species
GCCACAGCGGCCAGGCCAGGCUACCAGCGGUGUGGAGACAGAAGGCCACCAAACAGAGUUGAUGGAAAUCCUUUGGAUUCACCUAGAAAAAACAUCUCUGAUGUUUCAAACAGCAGUAAUUAGAAGACAGAAAUGCCUUGGAUGCUGUGGGUUUUAUUUUAUCUGCUUACAAGCCAGCAAGUCUUCCAGGCAAGUGGUGCAUGGAUAAAUACAGACCACUUCACAGGAGAGACAAUUCCCCAGACAUUGUUGACAAGGGUGCACUGCAAGGAGGCAGUGGAAGAUUGUGCAGCACCUGCAAGGACCUAGUCCCCUUCUGUGUGGGAUGUGUUAGCAGCUGAAGAGCUGAGCUCCUGCUUUUCUUUAUGUGCACUCCUGACUCAGCCAAACUCUGUUACAAGCACAGCUGCACUCAAGAGAAGAAUAUUUUAUAAAGAGAGUUCAAAAUGGCUCUUCUGCUGUGGUAAGUUUUCAGCUACCACCUCUGAAGCACAUCCUUCCUUCCUGAUGGCCACAUCAAAUGGGUUUGCAAAGACACCGUGGAAAGGAGACCCAGAUAUGUGGUGCUCGAUGGUCU